rnacentral:tRNA from 1 species
UCUCCCCGUAGUUAAACUGGAUAUAACAAGACCCUCCUAAGGUUUAGUUCCUGGUUCGAGUCCGGGCGGGGAGGU